rnacentral:hammerhead_ribozyme from 1 species
CUGACGAGUCCUAAAUAGGACGAAACGCGCGUN